GAGAGGAUGAUGAAUUUUAAUAAAUUACUAACCUUAAAUGGCUAGCUUCAUACAAUUUGUGCAGCAGAAAUACUUGGAGAAUGAUGGAUAACUAAAUGAGACAAAUGAAAAAUUAGAAACGACAAAGCCUCAUCAGAAUUGCCAAACCCCAUGGGGAAAAUUCUAUCCUAGGUUGCACUAAACCGAGAACAUGUAAGAGGGGAGAGGGGGGCGAAUUAUCUCACAAUUAAUGCUUUUAUAUACACUACAAUACAACAGAUUUCUAAAGGGCAGAUACCCAAGAAAUUAAAUGGAAGAAAGAAAAUAAAUUAUGGCGGGAAGGAGGAGAGAACAUCAAAAAAAGAUGACAAAAAAAAAAAAAAAAA
rnacentral:misc_RNA from 1 species